rnacentral:lncRNA from 1 species
AUGAUGCCCCCAUCAGACCCAGGUGGGAUGCCCAUGCCAAGUCGCGGCGGCCGCAUGGCGAUGCACAUGACCUUUUUCUGGGGGAAGCGCGUGGAGAUCCUCUUCUCCGGCUGGCCCGGCGAUCGGGGCGUCGGCAUGUACCUCCUCGCCCUCCUCUUCGUCUUUGUCGCCUCUGCCCUCGUCGACUACCUCUCCUCCAUCUCCCGACGCCUCUCCCGAGGACCAGCCGCCACCCCCGGUGAUCGCCGGGUCUCCACUGCCGUGUUGCUGACCACCCUCCAUGCCGUCCGGUUGGGGCUGGCUUACCUCGUCAUGCUCGCCGUCAUGUCCUUCAA